AGAGUUUGAUCAUGGCUCAGGAUGAACGCUAGCUACAGGCUUAACACAUGCAAGUCGAGGGGCAGCAUUUUAGUUUGCUUGCAAACUAAAGAUGGCGACCGGCGCACGGGUGAGUAACACGUAUCCAACCUGCCGAUAACUCGGGGAUAGCCUUUCGAAAGAAAGAUUAAUAUCCGAUAGUAUAUUUUCUCCGCAUGGCGAGAAUAUUAAAGAAUUUCGGUUAUCGAUGGGGAUGCGUUCCAUUAGUUUGUUGGCGGGGUAACGGCCCACCAAGACUACGAUGGAUAGGGGUUCUGAGAGGAAGGCCCCCCACAUUGGAACUGAGACACGGUCCAAACUCCUAGGGAGGCAGCA
rnacentral:rRNA from 1 species